AGUUACCUCGAAGGACUGAUACUAUUCCAGCUAUACAACACCUACCAAGAUGCUUAUAUCAGUGGCGGGUAUCUUGAAUAUGAAACCUCUAAAUAUCAAUUUCUUUUCGACUCUUUUAAACGCUGCAAACAAAUAAAUCACCCAGAACUCAAAACAAUUGGAUCUGAAUUCAAAAAUAUAAUCCUGGGCCAUCUUACCGCCGUUUUAUCAUCGAAUGUAAACCCGUUUAGUGGACAUGAGCUGUUUUACUUUUUUACAUAUGAUCAAAACACAAUCGACUAUAUAUUUGUAGAAUUAGUGGAGUAUGUAAUAGGUUUUAUUUGGAUUUAUUUCUAGAUAACGUGCCUGGUGGUGAUAUACUUAGAAAUAUGUUAUAUACAGUUAGAACAGGGGUGACACAGUGCAGUACUAUCAUUGAUACUUAUCCACAUUUUAUUUCUUUAAAGAGAAUGAUUUUAUUUAAAGCUUCUUCCGGGAUUCAGCCGUUUUGUGAAGAGAUUGUGAAAUUACCUGGAUUUUUUGGAACUACUGAAUUUUCAGAUGGCAAUAAAUUUGAAGCGAUGAGUUACUUGGGGCCAUUUUUUGCAGUCCCUGCUGUUGAGUACGACGACAUCAGAGACCACGACUUGCAAAUGACCCCUCUCUUGCUAGCAGAGAACUGCGACUC